UGAUGCAGCCAUGCCGCGUGUGUGAAGAAGGCCUUCGGGUUGUAAAGCACUUUCAGUUGUGAGGCAAAGUUAGUAGUUAAUACCUGCUAGCCGUGACGUUAACAACAGAAGAAGCACCGGCUAACUCCGUGCCAGCAGCCGCGGUAAUACGGAGGGUGCGAGCGUUAAUCGGAAUUACUGGGCGUAAAGCGCACGCAGGCGGUUUGUUAAGCUAGAUGUGAAAGCCCCGGGCUCAACCUGGGAUGGUCAUUUAGAACUGGCAGACUAGAGUCUUGGAGAGGGGAGUGGAAUUCCAGGUGUAGCGGUGAAAUGCGUAGAUAUCUGGAGGAACAUCAGUGGCGAAGGCGACUCCCUGGCCAAAGACUGACGCUCAUGUGCGAAAGUGUGGGUAGCGAACAGGAUUAGAUACCCUGGUAGUCCACACCGUAAACGCUGUCUACUAGCUGUUUGUGGCUUUAAGCCGUGAGUAGCGAAGCUAACGCGCUAAGUAGACCGCC
rnacentral:rRNA from 1 species